GACGAACGCUGGCGGCGUGCUUAACACAUGCAAGUCGAACGGAAAGGCCUGCUUUCCCUUGUGGAUUGCGGGUACUCGAGUGGCGAACGGGUGAGUAACACGUGAGUGAUCUGCCCCCAACUUGGGUAUAAGCCUGGGAAACUGGGUCUAAUUCCCGAUAGGACUGCAGGGUGGUGCCUGUGGUGGAAAACGAUUUUCUAGUGGUUGGGGAUGAGCUCGCGGCCUAUCCGCUUGUUGGUGGGGUAAUGGCCUACCAAGGCGGCGACGGGUAGCCGGCCUGGGAGGGUGGACGGCCACAUUGGGACUGAGAUACGGCCCAGACUCCUACGGGAGGCAGGAGUGGGGAAUAUUGCACAAUGGGCGGAAGCCUGAUGCAGCGACGCCGCGUGGGGGAUGACGGCCUUCGGGUUGUAAACUCCUUUCGACCGCGAGGAAGCCACCUGGUUGGAAGGGUGGUGACGGUAGUGGUAGAAGAAGCACCGGCUAACUACGUG
rnacentral:rRNA from 1 species